UAGGGAGACCUAAUCCAUUUAGAAAUCGAAAACAAUGAAAAUUGUCAAUAGAAACUAAAUUGGUCUAACCUAGGUCGUUCGAGAUUGGUAGACAUCUUUCAAAGUAUUAUUCGGCUUCGUUCAAAACCAUAUAUAAUAAAUGGAAAAAGACAGCACCUAAUUGUCAAAGUUAGACUGCUGGAUGAAGUUCCAGCCAGAACCUUGAAAACUGCAUAAGAGAACAAGAAAAGGCAGGCAGACACAGACAUUUAGAUGGAUGUGGAAGCAAAAGAAAUUGU
rnacentral:misc_RNA from 1 species